GGGGGUGUGGCGGAAUCGGCAUACGCAGCGGACUUAAAAUCCGUCGCCGCAAGGCUUGAGGGUUCGAGUCCCUCCACCCCUACCA
rnacentral:tRNA from 1 species